UACGUAGGUGGCAAGCGUUGUCCGGAUUUAUUGGGCUUAAAGGGUGCGUAGGCGGUCUUAUAAGUCAGUGCUGAAAUAUCCCGGCUUAACCGGGAGGGUGGCAUUGAUACUGUAGGACUUGAGUAGAGUUGAGGUUGGCGGAAUUGACGGUGUAGCGGUGAAAUGCUUAGAUAUCGUCAAGAACACCGAUAGUGAAGACAGCUAACUAAGCUGAAACUGACGCUGAGGCACGAAAGUGUGGGGAUCAAACAGG
rnacentral:rRNA from 1 species